CGUGCACCGGUGGGGUCCCUCAGCCUGGCCUGCAGGGAUUUGGCUGAAAACCAGCUCUCCAACAUCCCCCAAAGGGUCCCAGAUCUCAAAAGGGUGCAGGCCAGGCUGAGGGACCCCACCUGUGCACG
rfam:Myotis davidii contig34765, whole genome shotgun sequence.